UUCGCUUGAACCUUAAUAACUUUUAAUCCAGGCAUCCGAUUGAGGCAUGCUAUACCUUUUUGAAAUGUUGUUGUCGAGAGCUACACAAUGACAUGGGAUAAAAGGUUGUAUGAAGCCCGAAAGAUGGGUCCAUGACCAUAUCUUAAAGUCUUUAAAUUCUAUCCGGUGUGCUGUCCUGCGUAGUAGUCACUCGGGAUUUUGAGUUAUGGUUCUUGUGGGAUUCUUCAUAUGAAAUGUGGGUUGAAAUGUUGUGGAGACAAUGUGAAUGUAGUAUUGAGGUGUCAAAAUGACGAUUUUUCUCCUCACCAGGGUUAUCUCCGGUUCUGUGCAGAUGUAGCAGUCGUUGCUCUGGGUUAUCUCUGAGAUUGGGCUGCUGUGAGCGCUGAAUGUCCUCAGGAAUGUCUUUGAGGUGUGCUUGACCUCCCGGGGUUAUCUCCAGGGUUAGAACUGAGUGCCUCGGAGUUAUAUCCGAGGUUGGAAUUGACUUCUCUGGGGUUAUUUCUAGAACUUGAACUGCAUCCCUUGUGGUUAUCUCCAAGGUUGGAACUGACUUUUCCCAGGGUUGUCUCCGGGAUUGAAAAUGAGUAUCUCGGAGAUGAAAAACUGAUCAUCCCGGGGUUGUCUCCAGGAUUGAGCUGAUUUGACUUCCAAGGUUAUCUCCGGAAGAUGAUUUCACCACCUUCUCAGAGUCCUUCCCCGUAUUGGAUUAGGGUUCCUCAUUAGGUAUAAUUCUUUAAUGGGACCAAACACAAUUCCCUUAAGGAAAUGAAGUUGAUUAGGAACCUAACACUUUCCUUAGGGAUAAAUCAAUUAUAAUUAGGAAUCUUUAAUUCCUUAAAAUACUCAAUUUCCCAAACAGAAUCCCACAUGGGUAAUACAAUCCCGCAUAGACUUUAGCCCAACAUAUAAUUCAGGCCUAUAUGUCAACGUCGGGAUUUUUAUUUGUCUCUUUCUGUUCUUGUCUUUUGGUGUUCUCAUGUUAGGUGAGAUUUGUUUGAAAAAACAAGUUUGAAAAGGUCCGAUAUGUAUAUGUCGACGAUUUGACUACAAGAGUCUCCGGUUGGUAUUUUUAAAUAGUUGCACCAACUCAACCAAGAAAUGGUUUGCACAUAGACCUAGUGAUGUGACACUAUUUAACUGGUCUGCAAAACAAAAAUUCGUUAGGGUCCGGGGGCUUGAUUAUGCAGAGGGAAGGUGUUAGGAAGCCACCGACAUCCAUGAUAACACGGUUACCGCCACUUUUUAAUUUAAACUUUAUCUGAAUGUGUGUGUGUAGGUCUAUGUGCAGUUGUUUGUAAGUAGUGUUAUGCCUCGUUUACACCUAUAUACAAAGGGUUUGACUUUUGUAUAAAAGUUUAAUUUUAACGAGAUAUGGCAGUGAUGUUUUGUAAAACAGGUUUUUCAAACCCUUGUGCUCAAUAGUAAUUGAGGCCUUUGAUACUUCCAUUUUAUUAUGUGUUCGACUUGUUUGCUUUUAUUAUUUUCAAGAUGCAAAACAUCUUCGAGAAAAUAAGAUACAUAGCAAUGCCGAACUCCUUGUGGGCAUGAGAGCCAUCUAAGGAAAUUUAGACACCGUGAAUAAUUUACAAGCUGGCUGCAGCUGAAAAUGUCCAUCACGGGACCCAAAUCUAGAUUCAGAAACUGAAUCUGUGAUCACAUGAUUCCUAUGCUCACAUGAUAAAAGCAAUAUGUAAAAAGCUAAAACAAGAACUAGAUUUGAAUAAAUGUAAACUAUUCAUCUUCAUCGGUUCCAGUUUAGUCACCAUAAACCAGUUGAAGUGUGAAAUAGCCAGAUUGAGACAAAUCUAGCCCGUAGCAAAAGCUAGAAAAUGAAUAAGAUUUCAG
rnacentral:lncRNA from 1 species